rnacentral:tRNA from 1 species
GCCGUUGUAGCUCAGUUGGUAGAGCACGUCAUUGGUAAUGACGAGGUCACCGGUUCAAUCCCGGUCAACGGCUCUA